rnacentral:rRNA from 1 species
GCCCCAGAGGCGUAGCCGAUGGUCAACGGGUUGAAAGUCCCGUCCCGUCUUGCAGUGUUGAACCACAGAGGGACACUGGAACGAAGGAGGAGCGGCUUUGUGGAUGGCCGUCUAACUGUGUAGGGGCAACCCGAGACAGGAAUGCGAGGACUGCGGGGCAACCCAACGUUCAAGUCUUCUGGAGUCGACAGGCGAGAAAAGCUCUGUGCGGAACUGCAAGAUGUCCGUACCGGAAACCGACACAGGUGGGUGAGGCGAGCAGCCUCAGGUGAACGAGUGAAACGUGGUCAAGGAACUCGGCAUAAUGAUCCCGUAACUUCGGAAGAAGGGAUGCCAGAGACGGUGUAGGGAACACCGAAGCUGUUUCUGGUCGCAGCGAAUCGGCCCAAGCGACUGUUUAGCAAAAACACAGGUGUGUGCCAAGCCGCACAAGGCGCCGUAUACACACUGACGCCUGCCCGGUGCCGGAAGGUUAAGGGGAGAGGUUAGCCGCAAGGCGAAGCUUUGAGCCGAAGCCCCGGUAAACGGCGGCCGUAACAAUAACGGUCCUAAGGUAGCGAAAUUCCUUGUCGGGUAAGUUCCGACCUGCACGAAUGGCGUAACGACUUGGGCACUGUCUCGACCACGUGCUCGGCGAAAUUGCAGUCUCGGUGAGGAUUCCGAGUCCCCGCGACAGGACAAAAAGACCCCAUGCACCUUUACUGUAGCUUGUCAUUGGUCGUUGCACAUCGCUGUGUAGCAUAGGUGGGAGUCGAUGAGCCCGGGGCGCUAGCUCCGGGGGAGACAUCAGUGAAAUACCACCCUGCGUCGUGCGACGCCCUCACCACGGCGGGAACACCCCGUCUGGGACCGUGGCAGGUGGGCAGUUUGACUGGGGCGGUCGCCUCCGAAACAGUAACGGAGGCGCGCGCAAGGUUGGCUCAGCGCGGACGGUACUCGCGCUUCUAGAGUGUAACGGCAGAAGCCAGCCUGACGGUGAGAUCGACGGAUCGAGCCGCCACGAAAGUGGGCCGUAGUGAUCCGGUAGCUCGGGGUGGAGCGGCUAUCGCGCAACGGAUAAAAGGUACGCUGGGGAUAACAGGCUUAUCGCGCCCGAGAGUUCACAUCGACGGCGCGGUUUGGCACCUCGAUGUCGGCUUAUCACAUCCUGGGGCUGGAGAAGGUCCCAAGGGUCCGGCUGUUCGCCGGUUAAAGUGGUACAUGAGCUGGGUUCAGAACGUCGUGAGACAGUUCGGUCUGUAUCCGUCGUGGGCGUUGGAGAGUUGAGGGGAGCGGACUCUAGUACGAGAGGACCGAGUCGGACGACCCGCUCGUGUCCCGGUUGUCCUGCCAAGGGCACCGCCGGGUAGCGAUGGUUGGCUGUGAUAACCGCUGAAAGCAUCUAAGUGGGAAGCACGCCCCAAGAUGAACUCUCCCGAGGCCUUGAGCCUCUUGAAGGGCCGGGGAAGACCACCCCGUCGAUAGGCCGCCCGUGGACGUCCCGCAGGGGAUUCCAAGCGCAGCGGUCCUAAUCGCCCGUACGGCUUGGCUAC